rnacentral:rRNA from 1 species
UACGGAGGGUGCAAGCGUUAUCCGGAUUUACUGGGUUUAAAGGGUGCGUAGGUGGGUUGGUAAGUCAGCGGUGAAAUCCCCGAGCUUAACUCGGGAACUGCCAUUGAUACUACCAGUCUUGAAUACUGCGGAGGUUAGCGGAAUAAAUCAUGUAGCGGUGAAAUGCUUAGAUAUGAUUUAGAACACCGAUUGCGAAGGCAGCUAACUACACAGUUAUUGACACUAAGGCACGAAAGCGUGGGGAGCGAACAGG